AAAAAGGUAAGCUAAUCAAGCUAGCGGGUUCAUACCUCGCCUAUAAAGGUUCUAACCCUUUCCUCUUUA
rnacentral:tRNA from 1 species